AUACGGAGGAUCCGAGCGUUAUCCGGAUUUAUUGGGUUUAAAGGGUGCGCAGGCGGCCAUUUAAGUCAGCGGUUAAAUCGUGGGGCUCAACCCCAUUCUGCCGUUGAUACUGGGUGGCUUGAUUGCGGUCGAGGUUGGCGGAAUUCGUUGUGUAGCGGGGAAAUGCAUAGAUAUGACGAAGAACACCGAUUGCGUAGGCAGCUGACCAGACCGCAAAUGACGCUCAUGCACGAAAGUGCGGGGAUCGAACAGGGUUAGAUACCCUGGUAGUCCGCACAGUAAACGAUGAAUACUUGUUUUCGGCGAUAUAAUGUCGGAGGCAAAGCGAAAGCGAUAAGUAUUCCACCUGGGGAGUACGCCGGCAACGGUGAAACUCAAAUGAAUUGGCGGGG
rnacentral:rRNA from 1 species